ACUCUCCCCCUCUCUCAUUCCAUUUCCGGUAGCCGGAUUCCGACCGGCGAAGCCGGCAGAGCUGGGAAGAUGCGGCGGCGUCACAGCGGCCGACCACCGUAGACGGUGGUCCGACGAAGCUCUGGUGACCGAUUUUCGACGAGUGAAGGCGCGUACCCCCUAAACUGAACCCCCUGAUCACGAAUCCGGCAUCCGUUUUCUCCUCGGAGCAAUGGAGGUGCCCGUUCUCGUCUUCGAUAGCCAUGGUUCGAGUUCAAACCUUUUCUCCGGUUGGGUGUGUCUCCGAUGGUGCUCGGUUGUAAUGGUGAUGGUGGUGUGACACGACAACUGGUGGUGGUGGCAAAGCACCUACCGGAACCGCACCUGUGUCGGCGACAACGAAGAUGGUGGUUGUUUCGCGUUUUGUUCAGUUCCGACACCGGCUUCAAGUUCUGGUCAAUACUCGGUCAAUAUCCGAUGACGUUUCGAGCCUCGGUUUGGAUUUCGGUACGGAGGUGGUUAUCAGCCGUCAGUGGUAGCGAUGGUGGUUCCGGCUUGGGUCGGGUCUGGUUCGUUAGAUCCGAGUUAGUAUUCGAGGGCUUGGUUCACUCGGAUUCACGUCGAUUCUGUUUUAUGUCUCGGCUCGAGUUUGGUCAAAACAAUAAAUCGGUUCAGUCAAAGAUGGUCCAAGUCAGUCAACCCUGGCCAACGUCACCGUUCGGUAUCGACUCUUUUUUUUACUCGUUUCGUUUCAACCUUUUACAUGUU